UACAGAGGUCUCAAGCGUUGUUCGGAUUCAUUGGGCGUAAAGGGUGCGUAGGUGGCGCCGUAAGUCAGGUGUGAAAUUUCGGAGCUUAACUCCGAAACUGCAUUUGAUACUGCGGUGCUUGAGGACUGGAGAGGAGACUGGAAUUUACGGUGUAGCAGUGAAAUGCGUAGAGAUCGUAAGGAAGACCAGUGGCGAAGGCGGGUCUCUGGACAGUUCCUGGCACUGAGGCACGAAGGCCAGGGGAGCAAACGGG
rnacentral:rRNA from 1 species